rnacentral:rRNA from 1 species
CNUUGNNAGAUUAGCCUGCAGGUCUAAGUACAUACCGAAAAUAAGGUGAAACCGCGAAUGGCUCAUUAAAUCAGUUAUGGUUCAAUGGAUCGUACACAAUUACUUGGAUAACUGUGGUAAUUCUAGAGCUAAUACAUGCAGCAGAGCUCCGAACUUCGGUGACGAGCGCUUUUAUUAGACCAAAACCAGUCGGGCCUCGGUCCGUUCCCAUGGUGACUCUGGAUAACUUUAUGCUGAUCGCACGGGCUCGUCCCGGCGACGCAUCUUUCAAGUGUCUGCCUUAUCAACUUGCGACGGUUGGUCAAAUGCCAACCGUGGUUGUAACGGGUGACGGGGAAUCAGGGUUCGAUUCCGGAGAGGGAGCCUGAGAAACGGCUACCAGUUCUAAGGAAGGCAGCAGGCGCGCAAAUUAUCCAAUCGGCGUUUGCCGGAGAUAGUGACGAAAAAUAACAAUACGGGACUCUUUUGAGACCCCGUAAUUGGAAUGAGUACAUUCUAAAUCCUUUAACGAGGAUCAAUUAGAGAGCAAGCCUAGUGCCAGCAGUCGCGGUAACCCUAGCUCUAAUAGCGUAUAUUAAAAUUGUUGCGGUUAAAAAGCUCGUAGUUGGAUCUCAGUUCCAGACCUGCGUUCCGCCUACCGGCGGUCAAUGCUCGUUCUGAACAGCCCGUCGGUUUCCCGGCAUGAUCUUCAUCGGUUGUCCCCGGGUGACCGGCAACUUUACUUUGAAAAAAUUAGAGUGCUCAAGCAGGCGUGACGCCUGAACAGUUGUGCAUGGAAUAAUGGAAUAGGACCUCGGUUCUAUUUUGUUGGUUUUCUGAACUCGAGGUAAUGAUUAAAAGGGACAGACGGGGCCAUUUCUACCAAUCAGCGAGAGGUGAAAUUCAAUGACCUGGUUGUGACAAACAAGCGCGAANAUUUUNUCCCAG